rnacentral:rRNA from 1 species
CACGUAGUUAGCCGGUGCUUCUUCUGCAGGUACCGUCACUCACGCUUCGUCCCUGCUGAAAGAGGUUUACAACCCGAAGGCCUUCAUCCCUCACGCGGCGUCGCUGCAUCAGGCUUCCGCCCAUUGUGCAAUAUUCCCCACUGCUGCCUCCCGUAGGAGUCUGGGCCGUGUCUCAGUCCCAGUGUGGCCGGUCACCCUCUCAGGUCGGCUACCCGUCGUCGCCUUGGUAGGCCAUUACCCCACCAACAAGCUGAUAGGCCGCGGGCCCAUCCUGCACCACAAAAGCUUUCCACCCCAGCACAUGCAUGCUGAGGUCAUAUCCAGUAUUAGACCCAGUUUCCCAGGCUUAUCCCAGAGUGCAGGGCAGAUCACCCACGUGUUACUCACCCGUUCGCCGCUCGUGUACCCCGAAAGGCCUUACCGCUCGACUUGCAUGUGUUAAGCACGCCGCCAGCGUUCGUCCUGAGCCAGGAUCAAACUCU